rnacentral:misc_RNA from 1 species
GAAAUGCGAUAAGUAAUGUGAAUUGCAGAAUUCAGUGAAUCAUCGAAUCUUUGAACGCACCUUGCGCUCCUUGGUAUUCCGAGGAGCAUGCCUGUUUGAGUGUCAUGGAAUUCUCAACUCUAUUUGCUUUUGUGAAUAGAGCUUGGAUUUGGAGGUUUAUUGCUGGUACUUGUGAUCGGCUCCUCUUGAAUGCAUUAGCUCGAACCUUUGCGGAUCAGCUAUCGGUGUGAUAAUUGUCUACGCCGUUGCAGUGAAGCAUAUCAAUGGGCUCGGCUUCCAAUCGUCCUUUACUGCACAAUGACUUUGACCGUUGACCUCAAAUCAGGUAGGAAUACCCGCUGAACUUAAGC